CAGUCGCCGCGGUAAUACGGAGGGUGCAAGCGUUAAUCGGAAUUACUGGGCGUAAAGCGCACGCAGGCGGUUUGUUAAGUCAGAUGUGAAAUCCCCGAGCUUAACGUGGGAACUGCAUUUGAAACUGGCAAGCUAGAGUCUUGUAGAGGGGGGUAGAAUUCCAGGUGUAGCGGUGAAAUGCGUAGAGAUCUGGAGGAAUACCGGUGGCGAAGGCGGCCCCCUGGACAAAGACUGACGCUCAGGUGCGAAAGCGUGGGGAGCAAACAGGAUUAGAUACCCGCGUAGUCCCUGUCUCUUAUAA
rnacentral:rRNA from 1 species